rnacentral:rRNA from 1 species
GUCUGUGGCCAUACCACACUGAAUACACCCAGUCUCAUCUGAUCUCAGAAGCUAAGCAGGGUUGGCCCUGGUUAGUACUCAGAUGGGAGAGUGUAUCAAAGACAAAAGUCU